ACGAACGCUGGCGGCGUGCCUAAUACAUGCAAGUCGAACGGUCUUUCUAUGGAAGCUUGCUUCCAACUGAAAAGAUAGUGGCGAACGGGUGAGUAACACGUGGGUAACCUGCCCAUAAGAGGGGGAUAACAUCCGGAAACGGGUGCUAAUACCGCAUAGUUUUCUUGAUCGCAUGAUCGGGAAGGAAAGACGGCCUUUGUGCUGUCGCUUAUGGAUGGACCCGCGGCGUAUUAGUUAGUUGGUGAGGUAACGGCUCACCAAGACGAUGAUACGUAGCCGACCUGAGAGGGUGAUCGGCCACAUUGGGACUGAGACACGGCCCAAACUCCUACGGGAGGCAGCAGUAGGGAAUCUUCCGCAAUGGACGAAAGUCUGACGGAGCAACGCCGCGUGAGUGAAGAAGGUUUUCGGAAUCGUAAAAACUCUGUUGUCAGAGAAGAACAAGCUGGAGAGUAACUGCUCCAGCCUUGACGGUAUCUGACCAGAAAGCCACGGCUAACUACGUGCCAGCAGCAGC
rnacentral:rRNA from 1 species